UGUGGUCGCCUGCCCCAAGAGGCGGGCCGCGCCGUCGUCACCCGUGACGUAUUUGCUGAAUGCUACCUGUUUCUUGUGCCCGUUGGGGACCUGUGUCCUUGACUCUGUACCCCGAGGGCAUGGUCCGAUUUCCACAAGUUUUCGCUGCUCUGGGCUGCGCGCAGGGUCAGGUUGCCGGGCCCACCUUCCCCUCGAGGAGCAAGUUCCCCGGGGUCAACAGACCUCAGGAUCUCUCCCUACUCCAUAGAGAAAUCUAAUUCAGGAAAGCCACUGAGAAACUUGUCUCCACCAAGAUAAAGAAACUGAAGCUCAAGAAGUAAAGUAACGGCCAAGGUCACACAACUAGUGACUGGGUUGGGUGUGACUGAGCAACCACUGUGUGCCAGGGUCUAAGAAUACAGGAAACAAGACACUCCUCUCUUUUCUCUACCUAAUGAACACCUAGUCACCCUUCAGGAGCAAACUAAA